GGUUAAUAAAUGGGAAUUGAGAUGGUUGUUGUUUUAAGCCGUAACAGCAUCAGAAAAAAACAUAAACUAUUCAAAGCAUAAAUCAAAUGAAAUCCAUAUUUAUAGUAAAACUGACAUUUCAAAGCAUGAACUAUUGACUAUUGUCGAACAGCUUAAAGCUAUGCUAAACUUUAGGUCUAGGUAUCAUACGGGUUUGGUAUCGUUUGUUUGCUGUCUUAUUG
rnacentral:lncRNA from 1 species